GGUUGACUGAGCCACCGUGCCAGGCCUGCAACAGCCUGAGUGCUGUGCGAGGAGGGUGUGUGGUGAGGCUACUUUCCUUGGGAAACUUGACCCAACAAUUUCUGCUUAUAUCUCAUUGGUUACACCUAGUUGCAGAGAACACUGGGAAAUGUAGUCCUUUAGCUGACCUCUUUACCCAGUAGAAUAAAAGCAGGGUUCUGUUGGUAAGGAAGAAAGGGAGAAU
rnacentral:lncRNA from 1 species